CUAAAUAGGGUUUUUGCAUGUCU
rnacentral:siRNA from 1 species